AUUUAUUAGGAAGGAUUAAUAGUGAGACCUGCUCUAUGAUGAUUAAAUGGCUGCAGUAUUUCUGACUGUGUAAAAGUAGCAUAAUCAUUAGUUUUUUAAUUGAAGACUGGAAUGAAGGGUUAUACUAAAGAGGUAAGUUUUAUUAAAUUUGGUAACUUAAUUUUAAUUAUAAGUAAAAAUGCUUAUAUAGGUUCUUGGGACGAGAAGACCCUAAAAGCUUUUAAUAAAGAUUGUAAGUUUAAUUAUAAAUUUAUUGUGCUAUAUUUUUGGUUGGGGUGAUCAGUGAAGAAAGAAAUCUUUUAUACUAAAAUUUAAAUUUAUAUAAGUUACUUUAGGGAUAACAGCGUUAUUUAAUUAAAGAGUUCUUAUUAAUAAUUUAGAUUGCGACCUCGAUGUUGAAUUAAAUGGCUCUAAGGGGCAGGAGUUUUAGGGGGAUGGUCUGUUCGACCAUUAAUUGUUUACA
rnacentral:rRNA from 1 species